rnacentral:rRNA from 1 species
UGUCUUAUGAUAUAAGAUAAUUCCUGCCCAGUGACCUGUUCAACGGCCGCGGUACCCUAACCGUGCAAAGGUAGCAUAAUCACUUGCCUAUUAAUUGUAGGCUAGAAUGAAAGGAUCAACGAAAUAAAAACUGUCUCAGUUAGUUACCUAAAAAUUAUUCUCUAUCUGAAGAAAGGUAGAUUCUCGAAGGACAAGAAGACCCUAUAGAGCUUCAUUUUAAUUAUAGAGUAUAAGAAUAUUCGGUUGGGGCGACCCAGGGCUAAAUAAUCACCCUCAUAAAAGAUCCAUAGAUCAUGACCCUAAAGAUCAUAAGACCAAGCUACCUUAGGGAUAACAGGCUAAUCCCACUCAAGAGUCCUUAUCAACAGUGGGGUUUGGCACCUCGAUGUUGGCUUAGGGUAUCUAUGUAGCGCAAAAGUUAUAUAAAGAUGGUUUGUUCAACCAAUAAUUCCCU